GGACGAACGCUGGCGGCGUGCUUAACACGAUGCAAGUCGAACGGGACUGAUUGAAAGCUUGCUUUGAAAAGUCUAGUGGCAAACGGGUGAGUAACGCGUAGGCAACCUGCCUCUAAGGAUGGGGACAACAGUCCGAAAGGACUGCUAAUACCGAAUGUUGUGAGUUUUCCGCAUGGGAAGCUCAUUAAAGAUGGCCUCUACUUGUAAGCUAUCACUUAGAGAUGGGCCUGCGUCUGAUUAGCUAGUUGGCGGGGUAACGGCCCACCAAGGCGACGAUCGGUAGCCGGUCUGAGAGGAUGAACGGCCACAUUGGGACUGAGACACGGCCCAGACUCCUACGGGAGGCAGCAGUGGGGAAUCUUCCGCAAUGGGCGAAAGCCUGACGGAGCAACGCCGCGUGAAGUGAAGAAGGUCUUCGGAUCGUAAAGCUCUGUCGAAGGGGACGAACGUGGGUUCUAUCAACAACGGAACCUAAUGACGGUACCUUUCAAGAAAGCCACGGCUAACUACGUGCCAGCCGCUGC
rnacentral:rRNA from 1 species